GAGUUCGGGAAACUUUCCAACCACCUUCUCCUGGCAAAGCUCGAAGACUUUGAUGAAGGUGGCCUGGCCGAACUGGAUGUUCAGAUCCCUCAUCUCAGAGGAGGUCUUGAAUUCCUCCACUACUUGGUUUCUGCCUCUAAAACUAGGGUCGGGAUCUACUCUUUCAGCUUGGAGACCUCGGCCUCUGCCUUCUUUCUUUCCUCCUCCAAGGCAGCCUUC
rnacentral:lncRNA from 1 species